GCCGUUAGCUCAGUUGGUAGAGCAUCGGACUUUUAAUCCGAGGGUCGUGCGUUCGAAUCGCACACGGC
rnacentral:tRNA from 1 species